rnacentral:tRNA from 1 species
UGGGAUGGUAGCUAUUUAAGCAUUCAUGCUGUAAACAUGAAAAUGGUUUUACCCCUUCCCAA